rnacentral:rRNA from 1 species
CCCCCGGCUUUGACGGGAUGUGAUUUCUGCCCAGUGCUUUGAAUGUCAAAGUGAAGAAAUUCAAUCAAGCGCAGGUAAACGGCGGGAGUAACUAUGACUCUCUUAAGGUAGCCAAAUGCCUCGUCAUCCAAUUAGUGACGCGCAUGAAUGGAUCAACGAGAUUCCCACUGUCCCCAUCUACUAUCUAGCGAAACCACAGCCAGGGGAACGGGCCUGGGUCCUUCGUCGGGGAAAGAAGACCCUGUUGAGCUUGACAGCAGUUUGGCUUUGUACGGAGGCACCAGAGGUGUAGAAUAGGCGGGAGACUUCGGUCGCCGGUGAAAUACCGCCACUCUGGUAGCUUCCGCACUCACUCUGUGAUGAGACAUCGGCGCGGCGAGCUGUCGGUUUUGCCGCAGCCCGUCGUCGUCUUCAUUUCUAGCCUUAAGGNCGGGGGGCUCGUCCUCCCGCCUUAGCCCUGCAGAGGACAUAGUCAGGUGGGCUGUUUGACUGGGGCGGUACAUCUGUCAAAAGGUAACGCAGGUGUCCCAAGGAUGGCUCAGCGAGGACAGAAACCUCGCGUAGAGCAAAAGGGCAAAAGCCAUCUUGAUCCUGAUUUUCAGUACGAAUACGGACCGCGAAAGCGGGGCCUAUCGAUCCUUUUUGAACUUCGGAGUUUGAAGCAAGAGGUGUCAGAAAAGUUACCACAGGGAUAACUGGCUUGUGGCAGCCAAGCGUUCAUAGCGACGUUGCUUUUUGAUCCUUCGAUGUCGGCUCUUCCUAUCAUUGCGAAGCAGAAUUCGCAAAGCGUUGGAUUGUUCACCCACUAACAGGGAACGUGAGCUGGGUUUAGACCGUCGUGAGACAGGUUAGUUUUACCCUAAUGAAGGUCUAGUUGUGGCGCCGGCAAUCCUGCUCAGUACGAGAGGAACAGCAGGCUCGGACAUUUGGUCGAGCGCUUGUUUGAAAAGGCAUCGGCGCCAGGCUACCGUCCGCGAGAUUAUGACUGAACGCCUCUAAGUCAGAAGCUCGCCCAACAAAGCGAUGACACCAAACCGCGCCCUAGCGCUUGGGAGGCAGCGCUACCCAUCUGGUCUUCGGACCAGGCGGAUCCAUGCCGCAGUGCCCGCUACAUCCGGACCGCCGCAAUCGGCGCCGGGAGGUCGUGCGUAUCAGACGCAUCGAACGCAUGGGCGCAAAAUCUCUUGCAUACGACUUUAUUUGA